rnacentral:rRNA from 1 species
UACGGAGGAUCCAAGCGUUAUCCGGAUUUAUUGGGUUUAAAGGGUGCGUAGGCGGACUGUUAAGUCAGUGGUGAAAGCUCCAUGCCUAACAUGGAAAUUGCCAUUGAUACUGACGGUCUUGAGUACAUUUGAAGUGGGCGGAAUGUGUCAUGUAGCGGUGAAAUGCUUAGAUAUGACACAGAACACCGAUUGCGUAGGCAGCUCACUAAACUGUAACUGACGCUGAGGCACGAAAGCGUGGGGAGCAAACAGG